rnacentral:rRNA from 1 species
UACGGGGGGAGCAAGCGUUGUUCGGAUUUACUGGGCGUAAAGGGCGGGUAGGCGGCCACCGCAAGUCAGUUGUGAAAUCUCUGGGCUUAACCCAGAAAGGUCAACUGAUACUGCGGGGCUAGAGUGCAGAAGGGGCAACUGGAAUUCUCGGUGUAGCGGUGAAAUGCGUAGAUAUCGAGAGGAACACCUGCGGCGAAGGCGGCAUCCUGGACCGGCAUUGACGCUGAGGCGCGAAAGCCAGGGGAGCAAACGGG